GCUGGGAUAGAGGCGGAAAUACUGCAUAGAUUAAAGAAGGUAAAAAACAAAAAUAAAAGGUAAGAAGUAAAUCUUCCAUGAUUUGAAAUAAAAGCAAAAAAUAAAGGGUAUUUUUGUCAUUUCACUAGCUUUGCAAAACCCUAGAUGAUGUUGAUGAUGAUGGGAAGUUGGUGACUACCAUAAAAGGCCUUGUCCCUCUUUUUGUUUCUCAAAGCUUUGGAGAGAAGAGGUGGAGGCUGGGGGUUCUCUUUGGGAGAAAGAGAGGAGACCUUUUUAGAUUUCAAGUUGGAUUCAAACAGAGAUGAUUGCCAAUCUUUCUCAAGUUCUUGGAGGAGACUGUUGAAAUUUGCAAGUUACUUUUGUUUCUGCAGUCAAUCCAGGAACUCCAACCCCUAACAAGCCUUUCAGACCCCCUGAUGCGGCACCAAACUUACGGAUCAAUGUCCUUCCCCUAGGUCUCGCUGAUCAGGUAAAGUCCGGAAUGGGGACACGACUUCCGUGUAUCAGUUGGACGUUCAACCAACCCGACCCCCGGGACACAUCUCCAUUACCAUCCACGGUCCCUGCUGGCUCACAGAGCGAACUCUUACCAUCCACGGUCCUCGUUGACUCACAGAGUAAAUUCUCACCAUCCACAGGUAUCAUUGGUUCCGUGAGUGUAUCUACUUGGAAUUGAACCCCCGAUAGUCCGUGAGGAUAUUUGUUAAUAUCCUUGUUCUCAUUAGAGAUGAAACAAAGGUGAUUGUAGAUUUUUUUUUUUUAUAAGCUCUUUUUUUUUUAUUUAAAUAUCUAAUAAUUGAAAUUAUUCAUGUUAUUCUCCUAUCUAAUUUCUUUAUGGCUCCUUUUUAGGUGUAUUUUAUAUAGCAAUAUAGAAAAAAAAGGAAAAAAAUAAUACAUAGAAAAAUUGUAUUAUUUAUAAUUUUAUAUGUAAUUGUUUUAUUGUUUUCCUUAUUUAUGAAAUCAUAAACAAAAAUCUAAGGGUUAUAAUUUGGUUUUCUAA